ACAGCUGGAACUGAGGCACAGAGCAAUAAACACAGUGGAGCCCAUCUCUGCCGUGGUGAGAGGGGGCAUCAGAAGUGACAACAAUGACAAGGACCCAAGGACCGUCCUUCUGACAAGUUUCAGAUUCUUGGGCUGAUGGAGUAAGUGAGUGACGGAGUGGGUUGCCAACUGUAGUUACUCCACUCAAUGCGGAAUGGCUGCAGGGAAUAUAUUCUGAUGUGCCCAAAGAAGUCUGCCCAGGGUGAAACAAAUACCUUUGAGGUUUAAAUCAGAAAACAUAAACACAUUUCCCUUAUAGGAAGAAGUUGUAUUUAAAAGCCUCUGUUUAAUUUAUUCAGAAACUACACGAUUUUUGUUGCUAUAUUUUGUUAUAAAGGAAGAGAGGCUGUUUCUACAGGUGUCAUAGAAAAGUCGAUGCUGAGCCAUGGAUUAUUGGAUCUCAUAGAACCACGGAGACUUGGCAGUAAAAUCCUUCCAAAGGCAGACGGUGUUCCUAGGUUUGGAAACGUACCUCCCAGGGGAAGUGAGCUGAGGAACAUUUUAUGCAUCAUUCAUCCGGUUAUGAGCCCUUGCUGCUCCAUCUCUGCACAAGAUGUUGAAACAACAGCAACAACAAAAAUUGUUUAUAAUGUGUAUUCUAACUUUGGAUCAUCUGGUUAACGCCCUGAUGCUAUUACCCAGAAAGACAAUGCUCUGUCAGAAAAAACCUUUAAAGCUCGCUGCUGCGUGAUUAGUAAAAUAAUAGGGAAAGUUCAGCAUUCUGGAUGUCCCAUCUAAUGAGGCUCUGCUGCUUCCCGGUGAUUCCAUUGCCUCUGCAGCAAUAACAGAUCAUUUAUUAGACACCUACUAUGUGCUAAACAACUGAUAUGUAUUCUUGAAUCACAACAGCAUUCUAGCGGUUGACUGAUUGUACCUGCCAGCUGGCUAAUAUCAUAAUUAACAAAGUUGCUACUACGUGUGCAAAGUUUAAUCGAAAAAUUUGCCAGUGCUAUGAUGGCAUUGUCACAAAGAUCACAAGGGACUCGGAGUCGACUUUUGCUCAAGGUGGAACGGCAAAGCUGUGUAGGCAAAAUGAGAAAUCUUGAACUUGUUCAGCCAAAGGAAAGAAAAUACUCUGGAGAUUCCUAUAAUUCAAAGAAAAUGGACUGGAGUAACAUCUGAGUUCUCAUGCAGCCAGAAUCCUCUUGAGAAGAACAGCCAGGAGGCUAAUAAUGGAGGGGCCAGAGAAGGAGGCCAGUGCUCCGAGGGUUAUCUCACAGCCUCAGAUGCUGGAUAAGCCGAAGGAGGCAGAAUCGCUUCUGGAUGACAUUCAGAAAGGCCGGAGUGAUUAUUGGAAGAGAAAAGCCUGCCUAUUCUUUUCCAAGGUGCCUGACUAUUCCCCGGGCCCGCCCGUCCGGCCACUGAUGAAUGAUUAGCCACCUGCCUCAGACAAAGGAUGCCCUGGGAGCCUCCCCACACCUACGGCCGCUUUGAAGGCUCUGCCAAGCUCACUUUUAAUCACGAGAAAGGAAUUACCCACAUGGAGUCAGCAGAAAAUGAGAAAGUAGAGCUCGUGCUGCGAAUCAUUCCAGCAAGUGCCAAGGGGCUAGUUGAGGAAUGGCUUCAACGAGACCAUGCUCUAGGGGAACUAUUUAUAGCCCACCCAUCGAGGAGGCCCACGUUUUAGUCACGCCAGGCCUCCUUUCUCCCGUGUGGUCUUUCUUCUGAAACAAAGAAGAAAUAGUCAAAUCAGACUUACCCUCUUGGAAAUGUGGUCCAGAUUGCUCUACUCCCAAGCUCCAAAAAAGGUAUCCUUGAGUGGGCUCGAGCCACACCUCCUCGGAGCCAUGAAGCCACGGAGGUGUUUUCCACGUUGCAGGUGGGGCAGAGAAAAAUCCCAUCUCGGAGCAGAGGGGGGGCUUUGGAACAGAGAUGGUUACUCAUCUCUCUGCCACUCCAACUUCGAGACCAGGGGCAAGUCAUUUAGACGCUGUGAGCCUCUUUAUCUUCAAAAUGGGGAGAAGUAAUGCGCCCUAAGGGAAGAUUGUAAGAAUUAAGUGAAAUAAUGCAUAUCCAUGCCUAACAAAGCGCUUAGCAUGUUAAAAAAAUAGUUCAUGAAAUAUUACUUAUUCCCCCUUCCUCUCUCUCUUCCCUGUCUCUUCCUUUUUCUCCCCCUCUCCCUUCAGAUGUUAGUCUAAAACCAGCCCCUUCAAGAGAGAAAAUACUAGAAAAUGCCUAAUAAAAUACAAGCAAGCAACUAAAAAAAAAAUGCCUAGUUGCCUCCUUUCCAUAUGUGGCUGACAUCCGUCAGUUGGAUCAAUAGUUUAAUUCUUUUCCCUUGAACUGUUUUAAUGAUGAUUGACCUGUUUUCACUUCUGCUGUUUUCUGUAUGUUUAUUUUUGCUUGACUGUUUUAAUAUUGACUAUUGAUCUCUACUCAUUUUUACUGGUUUUCUGUAAUUUUUUUUUCAAUGAGAAUUCCAAUAAAACUUACUCUGUU
ensembl:lncRNA